UCCUUAAUCGUUGGACGGCGCCAUUUUCCUGCGAAUAAUCGGAUCGUGAGCGUAGGGCCAUUGUGGUUUCUCAUCAAAUUUAGAAUAAAUUCCAGCUAAUUUAUCCUAGUAUUUAAAUCUCUUUAGAGAAUAAGGUUUUUAACGAUGUCUUCUCGAUAUCGUAACUCCGGUCCUUUGGACUGUAAAGUAUAUGUUGGUGAACUUGGAAAUAGUGGCACGCGUCACGAACUAGAAGAUGCAUUCAGUUAUUAUGGUCCUCUGAGAAAUGUAUGGGUUGCAAGAAAUCCUCCUGGUUUUGCAUUUGUUGAAUUUGAAGAUUCUCGUGAUGCCCGAGAUGCCGUCAGAGGACUUGAUGGAAAAAUUCUCUGUGGAAGACGUGUAAGAGUUGAAUUGUCUAGUGGAAAGUCUAGAUCAUCAUACCGACCACCCCCUCGUUACAAUCCUGAUGAAAGGUGUUAUGAAUGUGGUGAACGUGGUCACUAUGCUCGAGACUGUAGAGGCCCUAAGCGGGGUCGAUCAAGGCUAACGCAGCCUCAGUGUAUAAAUCAACUUUAUCGAUCAAGCUGCAUUGUUGUGAUCAGCAUUCAACAAUGAGUUACCAGCUCAACAUAAGUUACUACACUUCGUCUUAUUAAACAACGCAAUGUAACCUCGACUCGUCACUGCUAAGGACGACAGCUCACAACAUGUCUUUCAUCUACAAAUCAGCACUUAGGGGGUCAUCUAAUGUUAUUCAGCCAAACCUGCGCAACAUCUUCGAUAAAUUCCUGCACGGUUUCCUAUGUGCUCACUACUUAGCGCUAUCAACUUUAAGUUGUACAUUAUAAUAACAAGAGGUUUGUCUUUUCCUUUCUUUAUCUGUGUUUUAAGCCCUUUAAGGUUGAAGUUAAUAAAGCCUGGGUUUAAUUUAUGGAAAUUCAUUGGCAUAAAUUUCAGAAACAUAAAAUUUUCACAUCUCGCAUAUUCAGACAUAUUUUAGUGCAUUGUGCUGAAAUUAAUAUGUUAAAAACACACCUAAAUUUAAUCUUGUGAAUUAGAACCUUUGAUAAUCGUAAAAAUCUGAAAUGAUACAUACAGUGGAAAUAUUUUCUGCUCUGUGGAAAUCUUAACAUUAUAAAAUACCUUUCCUAAAUGAAAUAAAUAUAAGUAGAAACAUUAAAUCAUUUAUUUAAGUAGCUGAGCUGGUAUAAAUAAAUUUAGCAAAUUGGUAAGGAUUAAAAUGUUAAUCUCAAAUUGUGAAACAACCUACAACAAAAUCGGGAAAGUUAUUACAGGUUCCAGGAUUUUUAGAGUGUUGAAAUGUGCCCUGUUAUCAGUUCAUUGAAAUUCAGGUAAGUCAGUGGUACCAUUAGCAUGAAAAGCCUAAAACUUAAAGCAUUUGACUUUUCUUCUCACUUAGAUCACGAUCACGCUCCCCUCGACGCAGGUCCAGGAGUCGUUCUCGAAGCCGCUCUGCAAGUCGAAGCCCUGUUAGAGGACAUGCUGGAGGAUCAAGAAGUCGAUCUGGAUCAAGAAGCAGAAAUGGACGAGGCUCAUCUGGAGAUUAACA